rnacentral:tRNA from 1 species
GGGCGCGUAGCUCAGCCGGAUAGAGCACCGGCCUUCUAAGCCGGGGGUCGUGGGUUCGAGUCCCGCCGCGCCUGCCA